rnacentral:rRNA from 1 species
UACGUAGGGAGCAAGCGUUGUCCGGAAUCAUUGGGCGUAAAGCGCGCGUAGGUGGCCUCGUAAGUCCGCUGUGAAAGUCAAAGGCUCAACCUUUGAAAGCCGGUGGAUACUGUGAGGCUAGAGUACGGAAGAGGCGAGUGGAAUUCCUGGUGUAGCGGUGGAGUGCGCAGAUAUCAGGAGGAACACCAAUAGCGAAGGCAGCUCGCUGGGACGUAACUGACACUGAGGCGCGAAAGCGUGGGGAGCGAACAGG